rnacentral:rRNA from 1 species
UACGAAGGGGGCUAGCGUUGCUCGGAAUCACUGGGCGUAAAGGGCGCGUAGGCGGCGUUUUAAGUCGGGGGGGAAAGCCUGUGGCUCAACCACAGAAUGGCCUUCGAUACUGGGACGCUUGAGUAUGGUAGAGGUUGGUGGAACUGCGAGUGUAGAGGUGAAAUUCGUAGAUAUUCGCAAGAACACCGGUGGCGAAGGCGGCCAACUGGACCAUUACUGACGCUGAGGCGCGAAAGCGUGGGGAGCAAACAGG